rnacentral:lncRNA from 1 species
GCCGGUAUCUGUUCUUCUCCCUUCUUGUUAAUCCUUCCAUUUUCUCAAAUGCUCUUAUUUUUUACCUAUCUCCCUGCCUGAGCUAACCUUUUGCUAAGUGUGCCUCACUAUGAUGAAUAGCAGCUAAGAUUGGUCCAGUCCUUGCUGGGUACCUGGCUCAGUUGAAGAGUUUUCUUUGUACCAUCUUAUUUGGGCUUCUCAACAACCCUAGGAGAUGUUUCCAGAUAGCUUUCAAAAAAUGCUGUCGCCGUUCACAUAGCCACCAGCAAAAGAUGAGAUCGUCCUUUCCACCACAAUCUAAAACAGUCUCAAGAAGUGAAAAAAUAGUCACAAAUGAGAGUCACAUGUUGGGAGCCAGCAAGGAACAGGGGUCACUCAAGGGGAGGAUGAAGCUCUAAGGGAUUGCUUAAUCAGCAGUUGACGAGCUUAUGGCCACGAAGGAGGAGGUCAACAUGGACACUCCAGAAACAGCCUUGCCCUUGGCACCCCACAAGAGUGACACCAGACAUAUUCCAGGAGUUGGAUCGACCAUAGCUUGUAGUGCUGGGGUAAGUGCUUUUCUCCAUUCGACUCCCAUUUCAGGAUUAUCUGUGGCUUGGAGCACCCCAGCAUGGUGCAGUUGCAAGAAGCCCGAUGUAUGUCACUUGAGACAGCCUUGAAUCUGGAUCUUCUCCUUGUGUUUUGGUGUCUGGAAAAGGAUAGAGAAGGCACCCUUGAGCUGAAAUUGGAGGGAAAUAUGAGGAACACAUGAAUUUAGAAGAAAAAGGAGAGUCUCAUGUUUAGUGUUUUGUCUAUGGCAGUAUCUAGCUUAACCCCUAUUUAAUUACCACCCAAUGAUCAACGUCGAAAUUUACAUCUGAAUGAAAUCCACAGUGCAAUCUUCUGUUUUAAAAAGGAUCUAGGAAAAAAAUAGAAUAGCAAUUUGGUUCUGGAUUUUGUACAUCACCUUUGAUGACCAGAAGUCUAACGUAGGCAGAGUUCUGAACAAAUUCGCACUUUUGCACUCAUAG